AUUUUGGGCAAUUUUCAAAGCUUUGUAACUCAAUCGUUUCUUAACCAAAUUCGACCCAUAAUAUAUCAAAAUGAAGAUAGGAAAAUGUAUAAUAAGAUAGGUAUGAAGUCAAUGGUUGCCGGAGAUGGAUAAAAUAUAUCCUGAAAGUUGACUGGUCCGUGGGAAAACUGGAAAACUCGCAUGAAAUUGGGUAAAUUUUAAACGUUUAUAACUUCUUGAAUACUCAACUAAAUCAAAUGAUUCAAAAAUGAAAAUCAUACGUCUCAACGAGAUGAAGAGAAUGAUAUCUUUCUUGACUACUAAAUCCCAUUGGUUUGGCUGAAAAACUGCUCGAAAGUGGCUAACUAAUAUUAGAAAGCCAGAAGGAAAGUUUGGUGUCUCAAGCUUCACAAAAAAUAAUUGGACUAUAAAGCCCUUCAAACAAAAAAAUUCACAACUAGCUGAAAAUAAUAAAAACAAAAUAGCAUGGAUACUUUUGUCAAAACAAAAAAGAAAAAUAUGUUAAACAAAAAGAGAAUUAAAAAUUAGAAAGAAAAAACAAAAAGAAAAAGAAAAAAGAAGAUAAAAACCCACAACUCCCUUCUUCUCUGUCUUCGUCUCUCUACACACACAACCGCUCCCAUGUUUUACUCAAUACAACCGCUCCACUUACUUCAGUUUGUUUUUUUUUUUUUUUUAAUGAAGGACAAUUUCAUUAAAACCAGCCAAACGACAUAGAUUUUGCAUCAGCUGAAGAUUUUGCUUCCUUGAAAAUCUAGCGAGAAAUCGUCCGUGCGUUUUGGUUUGUAAGUUCUUCUUUAUCGUUUCAGUUUAAAUUAUUUCAUUUACUUUCUCAAUUUUGCUUCCAUGAAUCCAACGCCAAGCAUUCAUGAUUGAUUUGCUAUUUUUGAAUUGACAUUCUAGACUAUAUCAAAAUUCAAGUCAUUGAUUAUUUUUUUAAGAAAAUUAUGCAGUCUUUUCUCAAUUUUAGAACCUCAAUCCCAAAACCAGCCCACAGUAACCACAACAAUGGCGUUCACAUCGUUAUUCUCUACGCAGCCACAACAACAGCAGCAGCAAUCGCGGUUUCAAACUCAACCCUUUCAGCAAAGCAGCUCCUUCUUCUCCCACCAACCACCGCAGCAGCAGCAGCAGCAGCAACAGCAAUUGUAUUUGUUUACUAAUGACAAGACUCCGGCGAGUUAUGGUACCAAGUGGGGGGAUCUCCAUCCGGAUUCCCAGAAAAUUCUUCUGCAGAUUGAGGAACGGGUACUGGGGUAUAGGGAUGAAAGUCAGCGUUCUGGAGUGAUGAAGUGAAGUUGCUGGUUGUGGCGGAGGAAGGAUUUACUCUGGCUCUUGGCAAUGGGAAGGACUUGAGGAGUUUUAGAGAGAUGAGUUAGUGAAGGUUGAUGGCGAGGGGCAGUGUGUUAUGAAAGAUCAUGGGUAUUUUGGUACGUUUAGCCUUAGCUCCACGUUUUAAGUUUGAGUCCUGUGAUUUCAUUUGUUGGAGAAAGUUUAAAGCUUUAUAUUGCCAAUGGUUGCGUAGUUCUCUUCAAUUUGUAUGGUUGUGAUGAUACGGAAAUAAUGAGUUUACGUUCAAAUUUUCUAAGACUUUAGAGGUAACCAAAUUGACCCUUUUAAUCUUUUAAGUUGCCAUUGCAUUCAGAUUAUGUUUUUGGUUUUAUCAUGCGAAAGUUAGAAUUGUUACUCUCCUUGAUUUUUUUAAUUAAUGUUGAUAAUUUUUGUGUAGAAAAGGUGGGAGUCUCUCCUCCGUCAAGGGAGGAGUUAUUUGUUGUUGGUGAUCUUAUGCUCAACUAGAUUUUGAGAACAACCGAGUUCACAAGGAAUUGCUGAAUGAUUUUUAAAAGUAGCCAUUGCAUGCUUAUCUAUGGGCGCCAAAUUUUCUCUCAAAACCUAGGAUGCGGAGGGACUUAGCGGAGGAAGCUGAAUACAUAACUCUUUUGGCCAUUGUCGUUUCUUUUAUUCAUCGAGGUGGAGGAGGUUCAUUGAUUGAAGUUAUAAAAGAGCCAAACAAAGAGUACGAAGAAAAAGCAGGGCAGACAUCCGCAAUUCGGUUUAAGAAUGGAACCUUGCUGGCUAUCGCACUAAUUUACAACAAGACUGUUCUACAGUGGGCUGCUGGGAGAUUCCUUAAUUUUUUUUUCUUAAGGGUUAUUAUACAAAAUGGUCCCUAAAAUUUGCAUGAUCAAUAGAAAUGGUCCUUGAGAUUUAAAAUCAAUAGAAAUGGUCCAUGAGAUUGUCU